GAUAUUAGAUCAUGUACGUGUGUGCGCGUUUGUGUCUUCUCUUCUUCUAAGUUCUACAUGCACUUCCCCUCAGUAUGUAGUUAGCAAUAGUAGAGUAGUAUAAUCAACUACUCUUUCUAUUGGUGGGCUCCGCCUAGUGGAAGGAAGGGCAUGGAUAGCAUUGUUCUGGAAAGAUCAGAGACUCUAAGAGCCACCGGAGCGGCCAUCGGUAUUCAAUCCAACAGUUGGCGCGCACUUGAUCAGCUUGGUGUGGGCUCCAAGCUCAAGACAAACGGCCAUCCCUAUCCUCUGGUUUGUCUCUCUAUUAUUGAGUAUUGCAUUAAUUAAGCUGGUAGUGUUAUAUAUGAUGCAAAUAAUUUUACCAUGCAUGGCGCGCAGUAUCUGUCUAUAUAUAUCAAUCUAAUUAAUUUGUUCGUGUCCAGGUUUCGAGAUGUCUCAACAGACGACACAACCCUAAAAGAAACACCAGUCGGGAAUUUAGAAGCUCAAUGCCUCAAACGGAGUAUUCUCACGGAAACCCUAGCAAACGAUCUUCCAGUUGGGACAAUACGUUUUGGUUCUCAUAUAACUGCACUCCAAAUGGAUCCAACUACCUUACAGCCAAUCCUUCACCUCCAUGAUGGAAGCGUCAUUAGGG